AGGAUGAACGCUGGCGGCGUGCCUAACACAUGCAAGUCGAACGAGAAAGAGGGAGCAAUCCCUUGAGUAAAGUGGCGACCGGGUGAGUAACACGUGACUAACCUACCCUCGAGUGUGGAAUAACAUCGGGAAACCGAUGCUAAUACCGCAUAAUAUCGCAAGAUCAAAGGAGCAAUCCGCUUGAGGAGGGGGUCGCGGCUGAUUAGCUAGUUGGCGGGGUAACGGCCCACCAAGGCGAAGAUCAGUAUCCGGCCUGAGAGGGCGCACGGACACACUGGAACUGAAACACGGUCCAGACUCCUACGGGAGGCAGCAGUGGGGAAUUUUGCACAAUGGGGGAAACCCUGAUGCAGCAACGCCGCGUGGAGGAUGAAGUCCCUUGGGAUGUAAACUCCUUUCGACCGGGACGAUAAUGACGGUACCGGUGGAAGAAGCCCCGGCUAACUCUGUGCCGGCAGCCGCGGUAAUACAGAGGGGGCAAGCGUUGUUCGGAAUUAUUGGGCGUAAAGGGUGCGUAGGCGGUGCGGUAAGUCUUCUGUGAAAUCUCCGGGCUCAACUCGGAGUCUGCAGGAGAAACUGCCGUGCUUGAGUAUGGGAGAGGUGAGUGGAAUUCCUGGUGUAGCGGUGAAAUGCGUAGAUAUCAGGAGGAACACCUGUGGCGAAAGCGGCUCACUGGACCAUAACUGACGCUGAGGCACGAAAGCUAGGGGAGCAAACAGGAUUAGAUACCCUGGUAGUCCUAGCCCUAAACGAUGAUUGCUUGGUGUAGCAGGUACCCAAUCCUGCUGUGCCGCAGCUAACGCGUUAAGCAAUCCGCCUGGGGAGUACGGUCGCAAGGCUGAA
rnacentral:rRNA from 1 species